GUAAAGAGUCAAUGCUGAAUUACUGUCUAUUUGCAUUGAACCACUCAGUAUGUAGGUGGUUAAACUUCCAUGUUGCUUAUAAUCACCUCAAGCAAUUUUACCUUAUACCUCUUUUUUCACAGAUCUUAUGGAGGGAACUAUGACAUCCAAGACUGGGCAUUUUUUCCUGCAUAUAAGGGAACACAUUCUUGCCAAAAAGUGGAAUUACAGGCAUUUCACAGGAUGACUGUCCAUUUCUUCUGAGGCUUUGGAAUGAGAAGUGAGAUAGGAGAUGCUCACCAGUCUGCUUGUAGUGAGGGCAAGAGGAGCCUUGGUUUGCAGCCCUCGCAGAUACCCACAGUGUAAGGACUCCCAUCGUGGCUGACAUCAAGCUACCACGUGGUGUCACUGAACACAGAGUUGGUAAGUGAUGUACACAUCAGCAGUCAUGAGCCUUUGGGAACUGACUCCCCUGCACCACUGAAUUCUGUCUCUGUACAAAUCAC
rnacentral:lncRNA from 1 species